rnacentral:rRNA from 1 species
AGCGAACGCUGGCGGCAGGCCUAACACAUGCGAGUCGAACGAACUCUUCGGAGUUAGUGGCGGACGGGGGAGUAACACGUGGGAACGUGCCUUUAGGUUCGGAAUAACUCAGGGAAACUUGUGCUAAUACCGAAUGUGCCCUUCGGGGGAAAGAUUUAUCGCCUUUAGAGCGGCCCGCGUCUGAUUAGCUAGUUGGUGAGGUAAAGGCUCACCAAGGCGACGAUCAGGAGCUGGUCUGAGAGGAUGAUCAGCCACAUUGGGACUGAGACACGGCCCAAACUCCUACGGGAGGCAGCAGUGGGGAAUCUUGCGCAAUGGGCGAAAGCCUGACGCAGCCAUGCCGCGUGAAUGAUGAAGGUCUUAGGAUUGUAAAAUUCUUUCACCGGGGACGAGAAUGACGGUACCCGGAGAAGAAGCCCCGGCUAACUUCGUG